UACGUAGGGGGCAAGCGUUGUCCGGAAUUAUUGGGCGUAAAGCGCGCGCAGGCGGCCGUUUAAGUUUGGUGUUUAAGCCCGGGGCUCAACCCCGGAUCGCACUGAAAACUGGAUGGCUUGAGUGCAGGAGAGGAAAGUGGAAUUCCACGUGUAGCGGUGAAAUGCGUAGAGAUGUGGAGGAACACCAGUGGCGAAGGCGACUUUCUGGCCUGUAACUGACGCUGAGGCGCGAAAGCGUGGGGAGCAAACAGG
rnacentral:rRNA from 1 species